rnacentral:rRNA from 1 species
UGGGGAAUAUUGGGCAAUGGGCGCAAGCCUGACCCAGCAACGCCGCGUGAGGGAAGAAGGCCUUCGGGUUGUAAACCUCUGUCCUUGGGGACGAAAAAAAUGACGGUACCCAAGGAGGAAGCUCCGGCUAACUACGUGCCAGCAGCCGCGGUAAUACGUAGGGAGCGAGCGUUGUCCGGAAUGACUGGGCGUAAAGGGUGCGUAGGCGGCAUGGCAAGUCAGAUGUGAAAUCCCCGGGCUUAACUCGGGAGUUGCAUUUGAAACUGCUGUGCUUGAGUGCAGGAGAGGAAAGCGGAAUGCCUAGUGUAGCGGUGAAAUGCGUAGAUAUUAGGAGGAACACCAGUGGCGAAGGCGGCUUUCUGGACUGUAACUGACGCUGAGGCACGAAAGCGUGGGGAGCAAACA